UCUAAAAGGUUCUUGAAUGGGGCGAACACUUUUUUAUGACUGAAAGCGUUAAGCCCGCCUCGUCACUAAUGUUAAUAAAUUCCUGUCGGAGAAUACCGCAAAAUGAUAUUUCAGUUCGCUCAACGCGGACCUAUUUGACGAGGCGGUGUCUCGGUUAACAAUGUCCCCUAAAAAUGUCCAUAUUUCAAUCGCCGUAGAGCAAAUGACGAGGUUUCUCUUGAAGCAAGCAAAGCGACCGCCUAAGCAUGCUUUCGAGGCAACUUAAGAUAGGAAAAAAACUCAAGAGUUCAGUGAUCAAACACCAACAGAGCCUCGUGAUAAGUUGCCUGUAAAGAGGAGCAUGAACCCAUCAGAUGCCUCCGAAGAUAUUGACCUGACGAACAAUGCUGCAAAGCAAAAUCUCAGUAAGCAAAGUGCUCAAACACCUACAGAGCCUCGUGACAAGUUGCUUGUACACAGAAGAGCCUGAUCCCAUCAGAUGCCUCCGAAGAGAUUGAAAAGAACUGUUUACGGACAUUUUCAGAACUGUUUUAGAACAUUUGUUCCAGACUUAUUUGAAGCAACCCUUCGAAACUGUUCUAAACAUUUCUAGAAUUGUACUGGAACACACCGGCUAGAACUGUUCUGUAAUCAUACUGAAAAUGUUCUAGAAUUAUUCUGGAACAGUUGUUGAACGUUAAAUGAGAAAAAAAUUCUAGAACAAUUCUAUAACAGUUCUGGAAAUUUAUUCAAGAAAAAUUCUGGAAUAGUUCUAGAACGAUAGUUCAAGAAUUGUUCUAGAACAGUUGUUGAACGUUAAAUGAGAAAAAUUUCUAGAACAAUUCUAUAACAGUUCUGGAAAUUU